UACGCCCUGAAUCAAGACUGGUGAUUUGCUGUUGUAGCUGUUAGUUUUAAACAGGAGCCAAGAGCAAUGUCUUUCUUGUGAUCUGUUGGCUAUUCAGUAUCUCAAAAUGAAUGGCUAAUUCAGUUGGAAAACACAUAG
rnacentral:snoRNA from 1 species